rnacentral:rRNA from 1 species
CGGUGUUCAACUGGCGUGUCCGCGGGGCGUCCUGCCGGUGGGCUUAGCCCGCAAGGGCGGCCCAACUUCAAAUCCCAUCGCGGUGCUCUUCACUGAGUGUCGAGGUGGGCCGGCACGUUUACUUUGAACAAAUUAGAGUGCUUAAAGCAGGCUAAAACUUCGCCUGAAUACUGUGUGCAUGGAAUAAUGGAAUAGGACCUCGGUUCUAUUUUGUUGGUUUUCGGAACCCCGAGGUAAUGAUUAAUAGGAACGGAUGGGGGCGUUCGUAUUGCGACGUUAGAGGUGAAAUUCUUGGAUCGUCGCAAGACGGACAGAAGCGAAAGCAUUUGCCAAAAACGCUUUCAUUGAUCAAGAACGAAAGUUAGAGGUUCGAAGGCGAUCAGAUACCGCCCUAGUUCUAACCAUAAACGAUGCCAGCUAGCGAUCCGUCGACGUUCCUCCGAUGACUCGACGGGCAGCUUCCGGGAAACCAAAGCUUUUGGGUUCCGGGGGAAGUAUGGUUGCAAAGCUGAAACUUAAAGGAAUUGACGGAAGGGCACCACCAGGAGUGGAGCCUGCGGCUUAAUUUGACUCAACACGGGAAACCUCACCAGGCCCGGACACCGGAAGGAUUGACAGAUUGAGAGCUCUUUCUUGAUUCGGUGGGUGGUGGUGCAUGGCCGUUCUUAGUUGGUGGAGCGAUUUGUCUGGUUAAUUCCGAUAACGAACGAGACUCUAGCCUGCUAACUAGGCGUAUUUUCGACAUCUCAAAGGUCCGUCGUCCCGGCCCUCGGGUCGUGGGCGUGCGCGAUUUUUACUGUCGGCGUACUAUCAAUUCUUCUUAGAGGGACAGGUGGCUUCUAGCCGCACGAGAUUGAGCAAUAACAGGUCUGUGAUG